rnacentral:rRNA from 1 species
AGAACGAACGCUGGCGGCAUGCCUAACACAUGCAAGUCGAACGCUUGCCGGGCUUCGGUUCGGCAGGAGUGGCGCACGGGUGAGUAGCGCGUGGGAACCUGCCCUGUUGUGGGGGAUAACCGAGGGAAACUUCGGCUAAUACCGCAUGCGCCCCCGGGAGCGAUCCUGGGGGGAAAGAUUUAUCGCAGCAGGAGGGGCCCGCGUCGGAUUAGGUAGUUGGUAGGGUAACGGCCUACCAAGCCUGUGAUCCGUAGC